rnacentral:rRNA from 1 species
GGAAAGAUGAAAAGAACUUUGAAAAGAGUGUUAAACAGUAUGUGAAAUCGUUAAAAGGGAACCGUUUGGAGCCAGACCGGCUUGUCUGUAAUCAAUCUAGGCUUCGGCCUGGAUGCACUUGCAGGCUAUGCCUGCCAACGACAAUUUGACUUGAGGGAAAAAACUAAGGGAAAUGUGGCCCACUUGUGGGUGUUAUAGUCCCUUAGAAAAUACCUUGGGUUGGAUUGAGGAACGCAGCGAAUGCUUUUUGGCGAGUUUUCCAGGAAGGUUUUCUGAGGUACUACGGUAUCAAGGUUGAUCUUUUUGGUUAUACUUCUAUUCGCUUAGGUUGUUGGCUUAAUGACUCUAAAUGACCCGUCUUGAAACACGGACCA